GACGAACGCUGGCGGCGUGCCUAAUACAUGCAAGUAGAACGCACAGUUUAUACCGUAGCUUGCUACACCAUAAACUGUGAGUUGCGAACGGGUGAGUAACGCGUAGGUAACCUGCCUGGUAGCGGGGGAUAACUAUUGGAAACGAUAGCUAAUACCGCAUAAUAUUGAUUAUUGCAUGAUAAUUGAUUGAAAGAUGCUAUUGCAUCACUACCAGAUGGACCUGCGUUGUAUUAGCUAGUAGGUGAGGUAACGGCUCACCUAGGCGACGAUACAUAGCCGACCUGAGAGGGUGAUCGGCCACACUGGGACUGAGACACGGCCCAGACUCCUACGGGAGGCAGCAGUAGGGAAUCUUCGGCAAUGGACGAAAGUCUGACCGAGCAACGCCGCGUGAGUGAAGAAGGUUUUCGGAUCGUAAAGCUCUGCUGUAAGAGAAGAACGGGUGUGAGAGUGGAAAGUUCACACUGUGACGGUAUCUUACCAGAAAGGGACGGCUAACUACGUG
rnacentral:rRNA from 1 species